rnacentral:rRNA from 1 species
AGCCAGCAGCCGCGGUAAUACGGGGGGGGCAAGCGUUGUUCGGAAUUACUGGGCGUAAAGGGCGCGUAGGCGGCCUGGGAAGUUCUGGGUGAAAGCCCCCGGCUCAACCGGGGAAGUGCCUGGAAAACCACUGGGCUGGAGUGCUGGAGAGGGAAGCGGAAUUCCUGGUGUAGCGGUGAAAUGCGUAGAGAUCAGGAGGAACAUCGGCGGCGAAGGCGGCUUCCUGGACAGACACUGACGCUGAGGCGCGAAAGCCAGGGGAGCAAACAGGAUUAGAUACCCUGGUAGUCCUGGCUGUAAACGAUGACGACUUGGUGUGGGGGGUAGCAAAGUCCCUCCGUGCCGGCGAUAACUCGUUAAGUCGUCCGCCUGGGGAGUACGGCCGCAAGGCUGAAACUCAAAGGAAUUGACGGGGGCCCGCACA